rnacentral:rRNA from 1 species
UUGAUCCUGGCUCAGAAUCAACGCUGGCGGCGUGCCUAACACAUGCAAGUCGAACGAGAAAGUGGAGCAAUCCAUGAGUAAAGUGGCGACCGGGUGAGUUACACGUGACUAACCUACCUUCGAGUGGGGGAUAACAUCGGGAAACCGAUUCUAAUACCGCAUAACAUCGCAAGAUCAAAGCAGCAAUGCGCUGGAAGAGUGGGUCGCGGCUGAUUAGCUAGUUGGCGGGGUAACGGCCCACCAAGGCGAUGAUCGGUAGCCGGCCUGAGAGGGCGCACGGCCACACUGGAACUGAAACAUGGUCCAGACUCCUACGGGAGGCAGCAGUGGGGAAUUUUGCGCAAUGGGGUAAACCCUGACGCAGCAACGCCGCGUGGAGGAUGAAGCCCCUUGGGGUGUUAACUCCUUUCGACCAAGACGAUAAUGACGGUACUGGUGGAAGAAGCACCUGCUAACUCUGUGCCAGCAGCCGCGGUAAUU